GUGGGGAAUCUUCCGCAAUGGACGAAAGUCUGACGGAGCAACGCCGCGUGAGUGAAGACGGUUUUCGGAUCGUAAAGCUCUUUCGUUAGGGACGAACGUGCUCUUUGUGAAUAAUGAGGAGUAAUGACGGUACCUAAAUAAGAAGCCACGGCUAACUACGUGCCAGCAGCCGCGGUAAUACGUAGGUGGCAAGCGUUGUCCGGAAUUAUUGGGCGUAAAGCGCGCGCAGGCGGGAUAUCAAGUCUGUCUUAAAAGUGCGAGGCUCAACCUCGUGAGGAGACAGAAACUGGUAUUCUUGAGUGUCGGAGAGGAAAGUGGAAUUCCAAGUGUAGCGGUGAAAUGCGUAGAGAUUUGGAAGAACACCAGUGGCGAAGGCGACUUUCUGGACGAUGUCUGACGCUGAGGCGCGAAAGCUAGGGGAGCGAACGGGAUUAGAUACCCGUGUAGUCC
rnacentral:rRNA from 1 species